rnacentral:rRNA from 1 species
AAUAGAUACCCAGGUAGUCCAUGCCGUAAACGUUGGGAACUAGGUGUGGGUCUCAUUCCACGAGAUCCGUGCCGCAGCUAACGCAUUAAGUUCCCCGCCUGGGGAGUACGGCCGCAAGGCUAAAACUCAAAGGAAUUGACGGGGGCCCGCACAAGCGGCGGAGCAUGCGGAUUAAUUCGAUGCAACGCGAAGAACCUUACCAAGGCUUGACAUACACCGGAAACAUUCAGAGAUGGGUGCCCCGCAAGGUCGGUGUACAGGUGGUGCAUGGUUGUCGUCAGCUCGUGUCGUGAGAUGUUGGGUUAAGUCCCGCAACGAGCGCAACCCUCGUUCUAUGUUGCCAGCACGUGAUGGUGGGGACUCAUAGGAGACUGCCGGGGUCAACUCGGAGGAAGGUGGGGAGUGACGUCAAAUCAUCAUGCCCCGUUAUGUCUUGGGCUUCACGCAUGCUACAAUGGCCGGUACAAAGGGCUGCGAAACCGUGAGGUGGAGCGAAUCCCAAAAAACCGGUCUCAGCUCGGAUUGGGGU